rnacentral:lncRNA from 1 species
AUUGCUGGGCUUUACCGUGGAUUCAACAUCUCCUGUGUUGGAAUCAUUGUCUACCGUGGUCUGUACUUUGGACUCUAUGAUUCUCUGAAGCCAGUUCUCCUCACUGGCACUCUCCAGGUUUGUUCUAGUACCUUGCCAUAUACUCUUCUAUCUUCAAAUUUCUCUUGUUUGCGUGACAACCACUGACAUCCUUGCUCACCAUUCACCUGUUUGCAGGACAACUUCUUUGCCAGCUUUGCUCUUGGUUGGUUGAUCACCAAUGGUGCAGGUCUUGCAUCUUACCCCAUUGACACUGUCCGCAGAAGGAUGAUGAUGACCUCCGGAGAGGCCGUCAAGUACAAGAGCUCCUUGGAUGCUUUCCAGCAGAUCCUGAAGAAGGAGGGUGCCAAGUCCCUCUUCAAGGGGGCUGGUGCCAACAUCCUCCGUGCCAUUGCUGGUGCUGGUGUGCUCUCCGGCUAUGAUCAGCUCCAGAUCCUCUUCUUCGGCAAGAAGUACGGCUCAGGCGGUGCCUAGAGGGGACGAAAUGAUGACGAACAAGAGAAGUUUGUUCCCAGUCCUACCCUUCGAGGAUCUGGUGAACUUUUAUCUUUUUAACGUUGGAAGGCAAUAAUUAUUGUAGAGGGUGGAUUUUCCCAACAUUCGUUUUUGGUGGAGGCAUCGAACUCCAGAGGUUGUCGUAGGUUGGCGGCAGCGUUCUCAAAACAUUUACUAUCAUAGGGUUGAGUUUGAGUUCGAGUAUGUGCCCUGAAUCGUUACCGGGCAAUUUUCCUUAAAUACAUUGUCCUCCAAUCCGACUGAUAUUAUGGUCAAGUUUAUGCUAUUGGUGUCAACAUCCUAUUCCUCUUUGCAUUGUUUAGUUUGUUGUCUGUUGAUUUGCCUGUUAGAUUUGAUUAUUCUUGUUUAUAUAAUUCUGCACUGGCGUGUCUUCGUAACUGUUUUCCCUGUUGCAU